rnacentral:lncRNA from 1 species
CCCCCAUUGCCUACCCUUUAGCACCCUUUUACCUUGGAACCAAUACACAGUAUUGAUUUUAAGACAGAAGGGAAGGGUUUAAAAAAAGAAAAAGAAAAGAUCUUAUCCAUUCCAAUAAAAGUUUUAGCUUCCUUUUUACUUUUAACUCAUUAAGACUCAAUUUAUUUAUGGUCUCUUUUUUAAUAUUCAUUAUGGAAUGCAAAAUAGUUUCUCUUGUUUGCAUCUAUACCAUGGAAAUAACCCAUGUAGAGAAGUGAACAGUACUAACCUAUCAUGAUUCCAAAUGUUUCAGAUUCACAGCCAGCCAUCGAAUCCAAUCUGUGCUUGAACAGAGUGAAGAAUCUCUUCUCCAACACAGAUGAAAUUAAUUCAAAGACAGGUCCAUGAGAAAGUUAACCAGGACUUGACAAAAAGCAAGCCAUCAAAGCAGGUCGAGAGAUUGAAGAAGAGGAAAGAGAAGUCUUCAACCAAAGGCUCAAGGAAUGCACCCAAAGAAAAACCAGGUCAGAAAGGUCCAUAGACCAGGAGAAGGGUAAGAACAAGAGAGAGGUGAGGGCCAGGAGAGCUGGUCAGAGGCGUGAAAGGCUGACUGAAAGCUUUGAAUGGGAAAGUUUUGAGUUGGAGUGUGAGAGCCUGAGUGUUCAAUUGAGAGUCUGAGUAACUGCUUUAAGUUGAUUAAAAGAGAGAAAGUUUCUUCAUGAAUUGAGAUACAAUGGUUUGAGGUUUAAAUGGUUACAAAGUUUUGCAAAAAGCUUCUCAUAGAAGCUUAAGAACUUAAGUUGUGGAUUUCUACUCAAAUUUUUCUGUGGGCUUUUGCUUGUAUUAUAUGUGUAAUGGAUUUCUUAGGCUGAGAUGCUAAUAAUCUCAAAUGCUUGUGAUUUAAAUGUAAGCAAAUAAUGUCUGUAAGUUGUGUUAAUGGAUUCCUCCCAAAAGCUGAAGAGGCGAGACCAGAGCUGGUGAUCCAGCGGGAGGCAAAAGGAGGUUCAGAAAUUCUUAACUUUAAGGCCUAAUUUUUCUUCCCAAAGUUUUGGUCUUCUUAACGUAUGAAAUAUUGUGUAUCAAGCACAGUUAAUAUUGGUAAUAAGAUGCAUUUUAUUCUAGGUACUAACCAGGUUUUUUGAGUGCUACAAUUUCAGUCUUUUUCAAGCUGUUAAUUGUUUUCAAAUAGGAAGGUAUGUGUGAGUUCUGGAGUAAAGAAAGUUCAUUUUAGGAUGGUUAACUACAGACCUGACUGGUCAUUGAAUUGGUGUAAAUGACAAGAAAUAUUAGGGAAAAGGUAUUGCUUUAAAGGGCAAGGAAACCCUGAACAUUUUAAACUGACCAACAAAUUUCUUCUUUAGGAGUGGCUUUAGCCUUAGGCCAAAGUGAUUUGAGGCAAGGAUAAGAAAGGCUAAAUUGGAGCAAAAAAAAUAGAAAAGGG